rnacentral:rRNA from 25 species
CCUGCGGAAGGAUCAUU